GGGCGUAAGCGCACGCAGGCGGUCUGUUAAGUCAGAUGUGAAAUCCCCGGGCUUAACCUGGGAACUGCAUUUGAAACUGGCAGGCUUGAGUCUCGAAGAGGGGGGUAGAAUUCCAGGUGUAGCGGUGAAAUGCGUAGAGAUCUGGAGGAAUACCGGUGGCGAAGGCGGCCCCCUGGACGAAGACUGACGCUCAGGUGCGAAAGCGUGGGGAGCAAACAGGAUUAGAUACCCUGGUAGUCCACGCCGUAAACGAUGUCUACUUGGAGGUUGUGCCCUUGAGGCGUGGCUUCCGGAGCUAACGCGUUAAGUCCACCGCCUGGGGAGUACGGCCGCAAGGUUAAAACUCAAAUGAAUUGACGGGGGCCCGCACAAGCGGUGGAGCAUGUGGUUUAAUUCGAUGCAACGCGAAGAACCUUACCUGGCCUUGACAUCCAGAGAACUUAGCAGAGAUGCUUUGGUGCCUUCGGGAACUCUGAGACAGGUGCUGCAUGGCUGUCGUCAGCUCGUGUUGUGAGAUGUUGGGUUAAGUCCCGCAACGAGCGCAACCCUUAUCCUUUGUUGCCAG
rnacentral:rRNA from 1 species